GAUGAACGCUGGCGGCGUGCCUAAUACAUGCAAGUCGAGCGGACUUGUGGAGCUUGCUCCAUAAGUUAGCGGCGGACGGGUGAGUAACACGUAGGCAACCUGCCUUGUAGAGGGGAAUAGCCUUCCGAAAGGAAGAUUAAUACCGCAUAACAUUACUAAGUGGCAUCACUUGGUAAUCAAAGGAGCAAUCCGCUACAAGAUGGGCCCGCGUCGCAUUAGUUAGUUGGUGGGGUAAUGGCCUACCAAGACGACGAUGCGUAGCCGACCUGAGAGGGUGAUCGGCCACAUUGGGACUGAGACACGGCCCAGACUCCUACGGGAGGCAGCAGUGGGGAAUAUUGCACAAUGGAGGAAACUCUGAUGCAGCAACGCCGCGUGAGCGAUGAAGGUCUUCGGAUCGUAAAGCUCUGUCUUUAGGGAUGAUAAUGACAGUACCUAAGGAGGAAGCCACGGCUAACUACGUGCCAGCCGCCGCUGUAACAC
rnacentral:rRNA from 1 species